AUUGAACGCUGGCGGCAGGCCUAACACAUGCAAGUCGAGCGGAUGAAGGGAGCUUGCUCCUGGAUUCAGCGGCGGACGGGUGAGUAAUGCCUAGGAAUCUGCCUGGUAGUGGGGGAUAACGUCCGGAAACGGGCGCCAAUACCGCAUACGUCCUGAGGGAGAAAGUGGGGGAUCUUCGGACCUCACGCUAUCAGAUGAGCCUAGGUCGGAUUGGCUAGUUGGUGGGGUAAAGGCCUACCAAGGCGACGAUCCGUAACUGGUCUGAGAGGAUGAUCAGUCACACUGGAACUGAGACACGGUCCAGACUCCUACGGGAGGCAGCAGUGGGGAAUAUUGGACAAUGGGCGAAAGCCUGAUCCAGCCAUGCCGCGUGUGUGAAGAAGGUCUUCGGAUUGUAAAGCACUUUAAGUUGGGAGGAAGGGCAGUAAGUUAAUACCUUGCUGUUUUGACGUUACCAACAGAAUAAGCACCGGCUAACUUCGUG
rnacentral:rRNA from 1 species